UACAGAGGGGGCAAGCGUUAUUCGGAAUUAUUGGGCGUAAAGGCGCGUAGGCGGCCAUUCAAGUGACGGGUGAAAGCCCUCGGCUUAACCGAGGAACUGCCUGUCAGACUGGAUGGCUUGAGACCGGGAGAGGUGAGUGGAAUUCCCAGUGUAGCGGUGAAAUGCGUAGAUAUUGGGAGGAACACCAGUGGCGAAGGCGGCUCACUGGACCGGAACUGACGCUGAGGCGCGAAAGCGUGGGGGAGCAACAGG
rnacentral:rRNA from 1 species